UGUCAAUCCAACCUAGCCGCAAUGAAGAAGAAACAGAAGUCCACCACCAUCUCCGCCGAAGAUACGGCGGACGCUACCGCCGUAACCGCCAGCACCACAAUAGAUUUGAAAGCCCUAAUCCGGGAUAACAGGCUCUUCUUCGACAAGUUGAUUGACUUAAUUCCUCCUAGAUUCUACCUCCCUAAAGAUGAACCCGAUACCUGGUAUCGAGGCCUUCCCAAAGCCGCCAAAGCUUCAUUGAAGAAACAAUCCAGGGAGAAUCUCAAACUCGCCCGCCGCAACCGGCUUGACCCCGAGAAGAAAGAACAGUCCUCUACUGUCGGCCUCCUCGAACAAUCCCUUCAGAAAAAGCAAAAAACUGACGAGGAGGAUGAUUCCGGCGAGGAGGAUCAUGGUGAACCUACGCCUAUUAAUUUGGAGGAAAACGAUAACCCUAACAACGAUAACUCCUCUGGUACUUACGAAGAGUUGAGGCGUAGGCUACACAGAAAAAUCGAAAUGCUCCGCGGUAACCGGGGUGAUGGCGAGAGUUCGGAGAGAAACAAAUUUAAUCAGCGCAAGAGGAGUGAAAAGGAUGCAUCUUUAGAGAAAUCCGAUGGUAAGAAGAGAAAGAGGGGUGAAGACGACAAUGGAGAAGAUACUUCAAUGGAAAAGGACAUAGAGUUUGGGAAAGUUAAAUUAGGAGACGACUAUGACAAGAAAAAGAAGAAGAAGAAAGUAUCCAAACCUAAAGAGUUGGAAAGACUGAAGAGGCUGGAAGAGGUGAAGAGGGAGAAUAAGACGCUGGCGGAUAAGGAAGCAUGGAAGGCAGCAGCAAACAAGGCAAUGGGAUUGAAGGUGUUUGAUAACCCUAAGUUGUUGAAGGAGAGUUUGAAGAAGGAUAAGAGAAAGAAAGAGAAGAGUUCUGAGAAGUGGAAGGAAAGAAUUCAGACUACGGAGAAGAUGAAGAAUGAGCGACAGCAGAAGAGAAGGGAUAACAUUGCUGGCAAAGCCAAGGAGAAGAAGAUGAGGAAGAUUGCCAAAAGGGAAAAGAAGCUCAUGAGGCCGGGCUUUGAGGGGCGAAAGGAAGGCUACAUUACUCAGGAUAAAAGCUAAACUGGUCAUGAACUCUUUCUUAUGCCUUCUUACUUUGAAUUUAGCUGCUCUCUCAUUUGGAGAGAGUUUUGUGUUUGGUCUGAAAUCUUUUGCUAAUUCUGUGCUAGUCAAGUUUAAGCUUUUUCUAUUCAGUAAGUAGUAUGUUGGCUAAUUAGCCUAUCCCAACUGGUUUAGGAUUGAGCAUUGUUGAUUCAUAGUAACAUGUUAGUUCAUGAUUUGUUUUCAUGAAGUUAGCAUUAUAAUAUAUGCUUGUCAGCCAAAUAUCAUUAGUUUGAUUGGAACAUAUUGUAUGCAAACAUUUCUCAAACAGCUGUGGA
rnacentral:misc_RNA from 1 species